GAAAUGCGAUAAGUAGUGUGAAUUGCAGAAUUCAGUGAAUCAUCGAAUCUUUGAACGCACAUUGCGCCCCUUGGUAUUCCAUGGGGCAUGCCUGUUCGAGCGUCAUUUGUACCCUCAAGCUCUGCUUGGUGUUGGGUGUUUGUCCCGUCUCCGCGCGUGGACUCGCCCCAAAGUGAUUGGCAGCCGGCGUACUGGUCCCGGAGCGCAGCACAUGUCGCGCAAACGAGUGCCUUGGUACGGCGGCGUCCAUAAGCCCCUCUCUCACGCUCUUGACCUCGGAUCAGGUAGGGAUACCCACUGAACUUAAGC
rnacentral:misc_RNA from 1 species